GACGUAGGGCGCGAGCGUUGUCCGGAUUUAUUGGGCGUAAAGAGCUCGUAGGCGGUCUGUCGCGUCGGUCGUGAAAACUUGGGGCUUAACCCUGAGCUUGCGGUCGAUACGGGCAGACUAGAGUUCGGUAGGGGAGUCUGGAAUUCCUGGUGUAGCGGUGAAAUGCGCAGAUAUCAGGAGGAACACCGGUGGCGAAGGCGGGACUCUGGGCCGAUACUGACGCUGAGGAGCGAAAGCGUGGGGAGCAAACAGG
rnacentral:rRNA from 1 species